rnacentral:rRNA from 1 species
CUGCCCUUCGCGGGGGACAACAGUCCGAAAGGACUGCUAAUACCGCAUACGUCGGCGAGGUCCUUGGAUCCUGCCGGGAAAGGUGGCCUCUUCUUGAAAGCUACCACCGAAGGAUGAGUCCGCGUCCCAUCAGCUUGUUGGCGGUGUAAGAGACCACCAAGGCAAAGACGGGUAGCUGGUCUGAGAGGAUGAUCAGCCACACUGGAACUGAGACACGGUCCAG